rfam:Myotis davidii contig293156, whole genome shotgun sequence.
CCACGGAAAUUAAUUAUUUUUUAAUACUUUUGAUAAAAGUACAAAUAAUAAUAAAUAACUGGGGUGAAGUCGUAACAAGGUAGCUGUACUGGAAGGUGCGGCUGGAUAAAUUACAAU